rnacentral:tRNA from 2 species
GCCGAAGUGGCGGAAGUGGUAGACGCGCCAGGUUCAGGGUCUGGUGGGCGCAAGCCUGUAGGAGUUCGAGUCUCCUCUUCGGCACCA